rnacentral:rRNA from 1 species
AAUAAGCGGAGGAAAAGAAACUAACAAGGAUUCCCCUAGUAACGGCGAGUGAAGCGGGAAGAGCUCAAAUUUGAAAUCUGGUGGCCUCAGGUCAUCCGAGUUGUAAUCUAUAGAAGUGUUUUCCGUGCUGGCUCAUGUACAAGUCCCUUGGAACAGGGCGUCAUAGAGGGUGAGAAUCCCGUCCUUGACAUGAACUACCAGUGCUCUGUGAUACAUUUUCAACGAGUCGAGUUGUUUGGGAAUGCAGCUCAAAAUGGGUGGUAAAUUCCAUCUAAAGCUAAAUAUUGGCGAGAGACCGAUAGCGAACAAGUACCGUGAGGGAAAGAUGAAAAGCACUUUGGAAAGAGAGUUAAACAGUAUGUGAAAUUGUUGAAAGGGAAACGAUUGAAGUCAGUCGUGCUCUUUGGAUUCAGCCGGUUCUGCCGGUGUACUUCCUUUGAGUGGGGUCAACAUCAGUUUUGAUCGCUGGAUAAAGGCUGGAGGAACGUAGUACCCUCGGGUAAACUUAUAGCCUCCUGUCACAUACAGUGGUUGGGACUGAGGAACGCAGCACGCCUUUAUGGCCGGGAUUCGUCCACGUACGUGCUUAGGAUGUUGACAUAAUGGCUUUAAACGACCCGUCUUGA